AAGUACACACAUCCCAAGUAGCAGAGCCGAAGUUUUUCAGAGAUUUUUCUGUGUGCCAAAGCGAGAUGCCCUGUCUUCUCUCUCUAGAUUUUGGACAGCAAACCGCUGCGCGUGUAGAGGUGUGUGCGUGUGACGAACAACGAUGGAUGAAAAACGCGAGGAGCGGGGUCCGAAGUCUUUCGUUGGUCACACACACAUGCAUCUACCGUUGGAUUGCGCUACAUCGAGUCUACCCAUCUCUCUCGAUCUACCAUGAUUUUUUCUGCUAUCGCACUCAUCUGGGAGUUAGGCAUCCUCAGUCUGCCCAGAACUUUCGUUGUGGAAGGAUGUGCGGGAGUGAUGUGCGAUUUCUUGUGUCCCCUACUUUCCUUGUUUACGUUUUGCGCAGUGUUGCUUCUUCUUCCAUUGUGGAAUGAUUUAUCCUAGCAAAUUGUUGAGUUACAGGUGCAUGCGCCAUUCAUCAACGCCUACCUGUUGGCAUCAUCAACAAUCUUUAUAGUAGGUGACGGAAAGAAAUUGUUUUCCAGUUUUAAAAUAUUAAGCGUUCAGCACAACUCAGCCACAAAACAACGCACUGGAUUGCGCUAAGAACCUGUCGAAACGCGCGCAGCCCCCGGGAGCGGUAGGAGAAAGGAAGAACGAGAGGAGAAAAAACUAAAGCCAGCGCGCAGCUCUGAUGGUACAGUAUCGGACAGAAAGAUAGGGCAUUGGGUUUUUAACGCACCGUGCACCCGUUGGGCCAAGUUUAUGUGUGGUUUGUAUGUGUUAGUGUUUGUGUGUGUGUGUGUGUGUGUGUAUGUGUGUGUAUGUGUGUGUGUGUAUGUGUGUGUGUGUAUGUGUGUGUGCAUGUGUGUGUGUGUGUGUGGAUGUAUGUUUGAAUGUGUAUUGAUGUGUGUGUUUGUUUCACAAGUAGGUCGUUUCGGAUAGAUUUGUAAGUAGCUUUUUUGUGUUUUGGGUUAGGUUUUUGGUGUGAUAAGCAGGAACACCGCCCUCGCGAUCAGUGUGUUUUCGAUAUAUUAACAAUGUUACGGUCUUCUUUCGCCGUGGUCUUCUGAGGACGACCGGUUGACUUGCGCGUUUCGGUUGUCCAAGCGCGUUUCAGUUGUCUAAGCACGUUUCGGUUGUCCGAAGCGCGUUUGCCACAAAAGUGCGCGAUCGUUCCAUUACGAACUCGAUCCUUUUGCGCUUAAUGCCAGCAGCAGCCAUUCGCUUUUACAUAUGGCGCUGAUAAUCGGUACAACGUUUACCUCGACCCAUUGUUACUAACAUUGCUUGCUUGGACCGUCAAGAACGCGCUGGUUAAAAACUUGGACACGGCUGAUCCCGUGCUCUGCCUGCGUUCUACUUCUAUACGCGAUGAAUAACAUCGUUGUCGAGCAGCGAAAACAUCGCAUGGAUAAAAACUAUCUACGAGUACGCGAGUAAGCGUCUUCCCUUCAAAAUCGAGAACAGAAUACUGCCGCGCUCAUGAAACAAAACGCCCAUUGAAAAGAACAACUGCGCGCCAGCUCAAUGCACGCACAAAGUUUACCAUUCGCACAAAACGUGCAACGCAGAGAUGCACGAAGGCCUUUCAAUGGCGUGCACUGGAGAAACACCUGUGAGAGAAUGCCGAGUUCAUUGCUAUUGUGCGUGUGUCCAUUUCGCACCGGUGUCGCAUUCACAUUCAUGAAACAGCACACCUGCGUUUUCGUCCGAGGAACAAGGGCUGCUGUCGAUGCAAACUUUAGUUUUUAUCCAAGUGUAAACGCACAAUGUUUCACAUGAUAACACACAUAAUAAGAAUAAUUUCAACGCAAUAUGACAUCAUGGCAAGCUAUGUUUUUCAGACACAAACCCGCGCACUUGCAAAUACACAUUAAAAAGCACACUCACUUUCUACUACUACACACACACACAUGCACACACACACACACACACACACACACACACACACACACACACACACACACACACACACACACACACACACACACACACACACACACACAC